rnacentral:rRNA from 1 species
UACGUAGGGUGCAAGCGUUGUCCGGAAUUAUUGGGCGUAAAGAGCUCGUAGGCGGUUUGUCGCGUCUGCUGUGAAAACUCAGGGCUUAACCCUGAGCCUGCAGUGGGUACGGGCAGACUAGAGUGUGGUAGGGGAGAUCGGAAUUCCUGGUGUAGCGGUGGAAUGCGCAGAUAUCAGGAGGAACACCGGUGGCGAAGGCGGGUCUCUGGGCCGUAACUGACGCUGAGGAGCGAAAGCAUGGGGAGCGAACAGG